UACCAACCCGAUGCAAACUGCGAAUACCGGAGAAUGUUAUCACGGGAGACACACGGCGGGUGCUAACGUCCGUCGUGAAGAGGGAAACAACCCAGACCGCCAGCUAAGGUCCCAAAGUCAUGGUUAAGUGGGAAACGAUGUGGGAAGGCCCAGACAGCCAGGAUGUUGGCUUAGAAGCAGCCAUCAUUUAAAGAAAGCGUAAUAGCUCACUGGUCGAGUCGGCCUGCGCGGAAGAUGUAACGGGGCUAAACCAUGCACCGAAGCUGCGGCAGCGACGCUUAUGCGUUGUUGGGUAGGGGAGCGUUCUGUAAGCCUGUGAAGGUGUGCUGUGAGGCAUGCUGGAGGUAUCAGAAGUGCGAAUGCUGACAUAAGUAACGAUAAAGCGGGUGAAAAGCCCGCUCGCCGGAAGACCAAGGGUUCCUGUCCAACGUUAAUCGGGGCAGGGUGAGUCGACCCCUAAGGCGAGGCCGAAAGGCGUAGUCGAUGGGAAACAGGUUAAUAUUCCUGUACUUGGUGUUACUGCGAAGGGGGGACGGAGAAGGCUAUGUUGGCCGGGCGAUGGUUGUCCCGGUUUAAGCGUGUAGGCUGGUUUUCCAGGCAAAUCCGGAAAAUCAAGGCUGAGGCGUGAU
rnacentral:rRNA from 1 species